rnacentral:rRNA from 1 species
CCUAGGGGAGGCAGCAGUAGGGAAUAUUGCUCAAUGGGGGAAACCCUGAAGCAGCAACGCCGCGUGGAGGAUGAAGGUUUUCGGAUUGUAAACUCCUUUUGUUAGAGAAGACCAUUACGGUAUCUAACGAAUUUUCCCUGGCUAACUCCGUGCCAGCAGCCGCGGUAACACGGAGGCGGCAAGCGUUACCCGGAAUCACGGGGCGUAAAGGGCGCGUAGUCGGGUUAGCAAGUCAGAUGGGAAAACCUUUGGUUUAAACGUAGAAGUGCAUUUGAAACUGUUAGUCUAGAGUAUGGGAGAGGUAGGUGGAAUUCUAGGUGUAGAGGUGAAAUCCGUAGAGAUCAGGAAGAAUACUCAUUGCGAAGGCAGCCUGCUAGA